CCUACGGGAGGCAGCAGUGGGGAAUAUUGGACAAUGGGGGGAACCCUGAUCCAGCCAUGCCGCGUGUGUGAAGAAGGCCCUCGGGUUGUAAAGCACUUUCAGUGAGGAAGAACGCCUGGUGGUUAAUACCCAUCAGGAAAGACAUCACUCACAGAAGAAGCACCGGCUACUCCGUGCCAGCAGCCGCGGUAAUACGGAGGGUGCGAGCGUUAAUCGGAAUUACUGGGCGUAAAGCGCGCGUAGGUGGCUUGAUAAGCCGGUUGUGAAAGCCCCGGGCUCAACCUGGGAACGGCAUCCGGAACUGUCAAGCUAGAGUGCAGGAGAGGAAGGUAGAAUUCCCGGUGUAGCGGUGAAAUGCGUAGAGAUCGGGAGGAAUACCAGUGGCGAAGGCGGCCUUCUGGACUGACACUGACACUGAGGUGCGAAAGCGUGGGUAGCAAACAGGAUUAGAUACCCCGGUAGUC
rnacentral:rRNA from 1 species